rnacentral:rRNA from 1 species
AGAGUUUGAUCAUGGCUCAGGACGAACGCUGGCGGCGUGCCUAAUACAUGCAAGUCGAGCGAGCUUGCCUAGAUGAUUUUAGUGCUUGCACUAAAUGAAACUAGAUACAAGCGAGCGGCGGACGGGUGAGUAACACGUGGGUAACCUGCCCAAGAGACUGGGAUAACACCUGGAAACAGAUGCUAAUACCGGAUAACAACACUAGACGCAUGUCUAGAGUUUGAAAGAUGGUCCUGCUAUCACUCUUGGAUGGACCUGCGGUGCAUUAGCUAGUUGGUAAGGUAACGGCUUACCAAGGCAAUGAUGCAUAGCCGAGUUGAGAGACUGAUCGGCCACAUUGGGACUGAGACACGGCCCAAACUCCUACGGGAGGCAGCAGUAGGGAAUCUUCCACAAUGGACGAAAGUCUGAUGGAGCAACGCCGCGUGAGUGAAGAAGGGUUUCGGCUCGUAAAGCUCUGUUGGUAGUGAAGAAAGAUAGAGGUAGUAACUGGCCUUUAUUUGACGGUAAUUACUUAGAAAGUCACGGCUAACUACGUGCCAGCAGCCGCGGUAAUACGUAGGUGGCAAGCGUUGUCCGGAUUUAUUGGGCGUAAAGCGAGUGCAGGCGGUUCAAUAAGUCUGAUGUGAAAGCCUUCGGCUCAACCGGAGAAUUGCAUCAGAAACUGUUGAACUUGAGUGCAGAAGAGGAGAGUGGAACUCCAUGUGUAGCGGUGGAAUGCGUAGAUAUAUGGAAGAACACCAGUGGCGAAGGCGGCUCUCUGGUCUGCAACUGACGCUGAGGCUCGAAAGCAUGGGUAGCGAACAGGAUUAGAUACCCUGGUAGUCCAUGCCGUAAACGAUGAGUGCUAAGUGUUGGGAGGUUUCCGCCUCUCAGUGCUGCAGCUCACGCAUUAAGCACUCCGCCUGGGGA